CGUAGGGUGUCUCUGCCGGCGUCUCUUCCCAUCGCUUGCUCAUCAGCGACGAGUAUGGCUCCGAUUUCCUCGAAGGCGAUCGCCGCGGCGGCCAGCAGCGGAAGGCUGAGGGGGGCGGCGGGUGGGAGAGGCUUCGAAAACUGUCUUGGCUACUCUAGUAAAGGCUUCCCCCCUUCCUUGUGCUGAUUUCUCUUGGGCGGAACAAAAGUUCAGGGGAUUGAUUUUAGAAGUGGUCAAUCGUACAAUGAUGAUUUUGGUAGUAGGUUUGAUGAUCGAUGAGAGUGAAACAUCCAAAAGACAUAAAUUUAGUCAAUAGUGGAAAAUCGGUAAGAUGUGUCUUCUUUCUAUUUGGACUAAAGGAUUUGAUAAUGUUACUGAUGUAAGGUUGUUUCAUGAAUAACAAAGCCAUACAAUUGGCAUCAGAUAGCCACAUUUUUAAGUAAUCUAUGUGCAUUUUUUGCA